GCCGUUCCCGUCCCCGCCGGGCCGCGCCAAACUCUAAAUUUGAAAAAGCGUACUGCACGUUCUGAUUCAAAACAAAAAACAAGUCAAAACUUUUAACAACGGAUCUCUUGGUUCUGGCAUCGAUGAAGAACGCAGCGAAAUGCGAUAAGUAAUGUGAAUUGCAGAAUUCAGUGAAUCAUCGAAUCUUUGAACGCACAUUGCGCCCGGCAGCAAUCUGCCGGGCAUGCCUGUCCGAGCGUCAUUUCUUCCCUCGAGCGCGGCUAGCCCUACGGGGCCUGCCGUCGCCCGGUGUUGGGGCUCUACGGGUGGGGCUCGUCCCCCCCGCAGUCCCCGAAAUGUAGUGGCGGUCCAGCCGCGGCGCCCCCUGCGUAGUAGAUCCUACAUCUCGCAUCGGGUCCCGGCGAAGGCCAGCCGUCGAACCUUUUAUUUCAUGGUUUGACCUCGGAUCAGGUAGGGUUACCCGCUGAACUUAAGCAUAUCAAUAAGCGGAGGA
rnacentral:rRNA from 1 species